rnacentral:rRNA from 1 species
GAUGAACGCUGGCGGCGUGCUUAACACAUGCAAGUCGAACGAGAAGUGAAGACGGACUCCUUCGGGCGGAAGGCUUUAUUUCGAGUGGCGGACGGGUGAGUAACGCGUGGGUAACCUGCCUCAUACAGGGGGAUAACAGUUUGAAACGACUGUUAAUACCGCAUAAGACCACAGCACCGCAUGGUGCGGGGGUAAAAACUCCGGUGGUAUGAGAUGGACCCGCGUUGGAUUAGCCAGUUGGCGGGGUAACGGCCCACCAAAGCGACGAUCGAUAGCCGAUCUGAGAGGAUGACCGGCCACAUUGGGACUGAGACACGGCCCAAACUCCUACGGGAGGCAGCAGUGGGGAAUAUUGCACAAUGGGGGAAACCCUGAUGCAGCGACGCCGCGUGAGUGAAGAAGUAUUUCGGUAUGUAAAGCUCUAUCAGCAGGGAAGAAAAUGACGGUACCUGAGGAAGAAGCCCCGGCUAACUACGUG